GAUGAACGCUGGCGGCGUGCUUAACACAUGCAAGUCGAACGGAAAGGCCCAAGCUUGCUUGGGUACUCGAGUGGCGAACGGGUGAGUAACACGUGGGUGAUCUGCCCUGCACUUCGGGAUAAGCCUGGGAAACUGGGUCUAAUACCGGAUAGGACCACUUCUUGGAUGUUGUGGUGGAAAGUUUUUUCGGUGUGGGAUGAGCUCGCGGCCUAUCAGCUUGUUGGUGGGGUAAUGGCCUACCAAGGCGUCGACGGGUAGCCGGCCUGAGAGGGUGUACGGCCAAAUUGGGACUGGGAUACGGCCCAGACUCCUACGGGAGGCAGCAGUGGGGAAUAUUGCACAAUGGGGGCAAGCCUGAUGCAGCGACGCCGCGUGGGGGAUGAAGGCCUUCGGGUUGUAAACUCCUUUCGCUAGGGACGAAGCGUUUUGUGACGGUACCUGGAGAAGAAGCACCGGCUAACUACGUG
rnacentral:rRNA from 1 species